GACUCAAGGUUGUCAGUGGAGCACCUGUCAGAAGCUGGAGAUUUGAUCCAGAGUCUUGAUGAAUCAAAAAUCUUGAGCAGGCUGAACGCUCAAGAGGAUGAAUACAGUGCUGAGAGUCCCAGAUGGUCACUUGACCUGUCAGUCACUCAUGGAGUUGUCUUUUUGUCUUUGAACUCCUCAGAGAAGAAUCUGUCAUUUCCAGCAGUCUUAAACAUCAGUCUUACAUGUCCACAAUCAGAG